rnacentral:rRNA from 1 species
GGGGAAUUUUUCGCAAUGGGCGCAAGCCUGACGAAGCAACGCCGCGUAGAGGAUGAAGGCCCUCGCGGUCGUAAACUCUUGUCUAGCGGGACGAAACCUUUGCAGAUGAAUAAUCUGCAGAAUUGACUGUACCGCUGGAGGAAGCUCCGGCCAACUCCGUGCCAGCAGCCGCGGUAAUACGGAGGGGGUUAGCGUUGUUCGGAAUUACUGGGCGUAAAGCGCGCGUAGGCGGACUGGAAAGUUGGGGGUGAAAUCCCAGGGCUCAACCCUGGAACUGCCUCCAAAACUAUCAGUCUGGAGUUCGAGAGAGGUGAGUGGAAUUCCGAGUGUAGAGGUGAAAUUCGUAGAUAUUCGGAGGAACACCAGUGGCGAAGGCGGCUCACUGGCUCGAUACUGACGCUGAGGUGCGAAAGCGUGGGGAGCAA